AAUGUGAGAACAAAUCCUAUGUGAGAACAAAUCCUGACCAUGGAAGACGCACGAUCCAAUGCCUGCAACAGUAAUAUCAAAUUGUAAUUACAUCAAAUAAACAAAAUCACAGUCGACACUCGACACUGAAAUCUUCUCUUUCUCUUUCUUCAAUUCGGUCUGCUACUCUCUUUCUCGAUCACCGCGGUUAAAUCCAAUUCACAUGGAUUUUCAUCCAAUUCACAUGAUUUCUUCAUCAAUAAAUUUCACAAUCGUUCUUCCUGAAUUUCGACUCAAUCAACAGAAUUGUAUUGGCGAAGAGGAGCACAAAAGAAAACAAAAUUCUCGUAUUUAUAAUCUCCCGAUCCCGGAAAUUUUGAUUGUUAUUUGGUGUACAAAGAAGUUGCAAAAAUGUGUAAUGAAUUAAGUUUGGAAUCUGGAAUGAUGAUUUUGUAUGAGGCAUUUUCAAGAACGAGGAAGAUUAUGGAAGGAUCCCCUAAUGCUAAGUUCAAUAUAGAGGAGUACUAGAGAUUUUACGAGUAUCCAAUUUGGCAUUUUAAAAACAAAAUUGCAUUAGUUGUUUUCCUUUCCUCUCUUGAAUAUUGUCAGCAUCAUCAGUUUCCUGCCUUGUUUCAAAUACAAUAUAACACUCAUGAAUACUAUGAGCUGCUACUUUUAUGUUGUCAUGUAUUUUGAUCUCCUACUAUUAUGAUCGGCUGUUAUUUUUAUCUACUA